GACGAACGCUGGCGGCGUGCCUAAUACAUGCAAGUCGAGCGGACAGACGCGGAUCUUGCUCGUCGGUCGAUAGGCGCGCACGGGUGAGAAACACGAGGAUAACCUCCCUAUAAGACUGAGAUAACUUCGGAAAACCGGAGCUAAUCCCGGAUAAUCUCUUGAUCCGCAUUGUUCAUUGGUGAAAUUCGGUUUUGCUGUCACUUAUAGCUGCAUCCGCGCCGCAUUGGCUAGUUGGUAAGGUAACGGCUUAGCAAGGCAACGAGGCGUAGCCGACCUGAGUGGGUGGUCGGCCGCACUGGAACUGAGACCGGCUCCAGUGGCCUACGGGAGGGACCCGUAGGCAAUCUUCCGCAAUGGGCGGAAGCCUUACGGAGCAACGCGGCGUCAGUGAUGAAGGUCUUCGGAUCGGAAAACUCGGUUUUGAGGUAAGAACCAAUGUGUAAGUAACUAUGCACGUCUUGACGGUACCUAGUCAGAAAGCCACGGCUAACUACGUG
rnacentral:rRNA from 1 species